rnacentral:rRNA from 1 species
AUUGAACGCUGGCGGCAGGCUUAACACAUGCAAGUCGAGCGGGGGAAGGUAGCUUGCUACCGGACCUAGCGGCGGACGGGUGAGUAAUGCUUAGGAAUCUGCCUAUUAGUGGGGGACAACAUCUCGAAAGGGAUGCUAAUACCGCCUACGUCCUACGGGAGAAAGCAGGGGAUCUUCGGACCUUGCGCUAAUAGAUGAGCCUAAGUCGGAUUAGCUAGUUGGUGGGGUAAAGGCCUACCAAGGCGACGAUCUGUAGCGGGUCUGAGAGGAUGAUCAGCCACACUGGGACUGAGGCACGGCCCAGACUCCUACGGGAGGAAGCAGUGGGGAAUAUUGGACAAUGGGGGGAACCCUGAUCCAGCCAUGCCGCGUGUGUGAAGAAGGCCUUAUGGUUGUAAAGCACUUUAAGCGAGGAGGAGGCUACUUUAGUUAAUACCUAGAGAUAGUGGACGUUACUCGCAGAAUAAGCACCGGCUAACUCUGUACCAGCAGCCGCCGUAA